rnacentral:rRNA from 1 species
GAACCUACCUUCAGGAUGGGGACAACAGUUGGAAACGACUGCUAAUACCCGAUGUGCCGAGAGGCGAAAGAUUUAUCGCCUGAAGAUGGGCUUGCGGCUGAUUAGCUAGAUGGUGGGGUAAGAGCCCACCAUGGCGACGAUCAGUAGCUGGUCUGAGAGGAUGAGCAGCCACACUGGGACUGAGACACGGCCCAGACUCCUACGGGAGGCAGCAGUGGGGAAUUUUCCGCAAUGGGCGAAAGCCUGACGGAGCAAUACCGCGUGAGGGAGGAAGGUUCUUGGAUUGUAAACCUCUUUUCUCAGGGAAGAAAAAAAUGACGGUACCUGAGGAAUA